GUCCUAUAGUAUUAAAUUGUAGGUUCGGCCUGCUCAAUGAUUAUAUUAAUUUAAUAGCCGCAGUAUCCUAACUGUGCAAAGGUAGCAUAAUCAUUUGUUUUUUAAUUGAAAGCUUGUAUGAAUGGUUUGAUGAAAGGUAAGCUGUCUUAUUCUUAAUUUGCUAAUUUAACUUUUAAGUUAAAAGGCUUAAAUUUGUUUGUUGGACGAGAAGACCCUAUAGAAUUUUACAUUUAUAAAAUAUUUACUAUAAUAAGGGAUUUAUUUCUGUAAAUUUUAUUUUAUGUUUCGUUGGGGAGACGGGGAAAUUGCUUUAACUUUCUUUUGUUACGUGUCAUUUAUUGUUGAUUUGUUGAUCCUAUAUUAUGGAUUUUAAGAAAAAAUUACCUUAGGGAUAACAGCGUAAUUUCUUGGGAGAGUUCUUAUCGAUCAAGGAGUUUGCGACCUCGAUGUUGGAUUAAAAUAAGUUUUGGGUGUAGGGGCUCAAUUACUAGGUCUGUUCGACCUUUAAAUUUUUA
rnacentral:rRNA from 1 species